AUGGAGCUUUAGACACACAGGUGGACCAUGUCAAACACCCCCAGCUAAGGGCCUGAACUAAAUGGAACCUGCCCUGAUGUCUUCGGUUGGGGCGACCAUGGGGAAUACAAAACCCCCACGUGGAAAGGGAGCACACCCCUAAGUUACUUCUUCUCCCGCAAGCCAGAGCAACAGCUCUAACAAGCAGAAAUUCUGACCAAACUGAUCCGGUAAAACCGAUCAACGAACCA
rnacentral:rRNA from 1 species